CCUACGGGAGGCUGCAGUGGGGAAUAUUGGACAAUGGGGGCAACCCUGAUCCAGCCAUGCCGCGUGUGUGAAGAAGGCCCUCGGGUUGUAAAGCACUUUCAGUGAGGAAGAACGCCUGGUGGUUAAUACCCAUCAGGAAAGACAUCACUCACAGAAGAAGCACCGGCUAACUCCGUGCCAGCAGCCGCGGUAAUACGGAGGGUGCGAGCGUUAAUCGGAAUUACUGGGCGUAAAGCGCGCGUAGGUGGCUUGAUAAGCCGGUUGUGAAAGCCCCGGGCUCAACCUGGGAACGGCAUCCGGAACUGUCAAGCUAGAGUGCAGGAGAGGAAGGUAGAAUUCCCGGUGUAGCGGUGAAAUGCGUAGAGCUCGGGAGGAAUACCAGUGGCGAAGGCGGCCUUCUGGACUGACACUGACACUGAGGUGCGAAAGCGUGGGUAGCAAACAGGAUUAGAUACCCUGGUAGUC
rnacentral:rRNA from 1 species